rnacentral:rRNA from 1 species
GGGUAGCAAUACCUGAGUAAAGCGGCGCACGGGUGAGUAACACGUGGAUAACCUGCCUCGAAGUGGGGAAUAACCCCGGGAAACCGGAGCUAAUACCGCAUAUUCUGACGAGAUCUGCGGAUUUUGUCAGGAAAGGAGCAAUUCGCUUUGAGAGGGGUCCGCGGCUGAUUAGCUAGUUGGUGAGGUAAUGGCUCACCAAGGCCACGAUCAGUAGCCGGUCUGAGAGGACGGUCGGCCACACUGGAACUGAGACACGGUCCAGACUCCUACGGGAGGCAGCAGUGGGGAAUUUUUCGCAAUGGGGGCAACCUUGACGAAGCAACGCCGCGUGGGUGAUGAAGUAUUUCGGUACGUAAAACCCUUUCGACGGGGAAGAAACCGCAAGGUUGACGGUACCCGUAGAAGAAGCCCCGGCUAACUCCGUGCCAGCAGCCGCGGUAAUACGGGGGGGGCAAGCGUUGUUCGGAAUUACUGGGCGUAAAGGGCGCGUAGGCGGUUCGCUAAGUUGAAUGUGAAAACUCUGGGCUUAACCCAGAGCCUGCAUCCAAAACUGGCGAACUGGAGUACUGGAGGGGAAAGCGGAAUUCCUGGUGUAGCGGUGAAAUGCGUAGAUAUCAGGAGGAACACCGGUGGCGAAGGCGGCUUUCUGGACAGUAACUGACGCUGAGGCGCGAAAGCCGGGGGAGCAAACAGGAUUAGAUACCCUGGUAGUCCCGGCCCUAAACUAUGGAUACUUGGUGUGAGGGGGAUUGAAUCCCUUCGUGCCGUAGCUAACGCAAUAAGUAUCCCGCCUGGGGAGUACGGUCGCAAGGCUGAAACUC